UACGUAGGGGGCGAGCGUUGUCCGGAAUCAUUGGGCGUAAAGGGCGCGUAGGUGGCGGGACAAGCGUGCGGUGAAAGCUCGGGGCUCAACCCCGAGUCGGCCGUGCGAACUGUUUUGCUUGAGCACUGUAGAGGCAGGCGGAAUUCCGGGUGUAGCGGUGGAAUGCGUAGAGAUCCGGAAGAACACCGGUGGCGAAGGCGGCCUGCUGGGCAGUAGCUGACACUGAGGCGCGACAGCGUGGGGAGCAAACAGG
rnacentral:rRNA from 1 species